rnacentral:rRNA from 1 species
UACGUAGGGUGCAAGCGUUGUCCGGAAUUAUUGGGCGUAAAGAGCUUGUAGGCGGUCUGUCGCGUCUGGUGUGAAAAUCCAGGGCUUAACCCUGGACCUGCAUCGGGUACGGGCAGACUAGAGUGCGGUAGGGGAGAUCGGAAUUCCUGGUGUAGCGGUGGAAUGCGCAGAUAUCAGGAGGAACACCGAUGGCGAAGGCAGAUCUCUGGGCCGUAACUGACGCUGAGGAGCGAAAGCAUGGGGAGCGAACAGG